CUAGGUCUGUGGUUGAAAGUCGAUGCUAGUCGCAGGCAAAACGAUCCACGUAACUUAAAAAAAGUUUUUAAUGAGCAUGGUGCGGUAUAGAAGUAAGUCCUGCCAAUAUAUAUUGAGAGAAUUAGUAGUGAGAGGGUAAUUCUGGGUAGCGAAAGUUCCAGCAGGCGGGUGUGGGGGCAAAGACCAGGUCAGCUAGG
rnacentral:ncRNA from 1 species